rnacentral:rRNA from 1 species
GAUGAACGCUGGCGGCGUGCCUAAUACAUGCAAGUCGAGCGAACAGACGAGGAGCUUGCUCCUCUGACGUUAGCGGCGGACGGGUGAGUAACACGUGGAUAACCUACCUAUAAGACUGGGAUAACUUCGGGAAACCGGAGCUAAUACCGGAUAAUAUAUUGAACCGCAUGGUUCAAUAGUGAAAGACGGUUUUGCUGUCACUUAUAGAUGGAUCCGCGCCGCAUUAGCUAGUUGGUAAGGUAACGGCUUACCAAGGCAACGAUGCGUAGCCGACCUGAGAGGGUGAUCGGCCACCCUGGAACUGAGCCCCGGUCCAGACUCCUACGGGAGGCCGCAGUAGGGAAUCUUCCGCAAUGGGCGAAAGCCUGACGGAGCAACGCCACGUGAGUGAUGAAGGUCUUCGGAUCGUAAAACUCUGUUAUUAGGGAAGAACAAAUGUGUAAGUAACUAUGCACGUCUUGACGGUACCUAAUCAGAGAGCCACGGCUAACUACGUG